GCCUGGCUGGCUCAGUCCGUAGAGCACGAAACUGGCCAUCUCGGGGUUGUGAGUUCGAGCCCCACGCUAGGUG
rfam:Felis catus isolate Cinnamon breed Abyssinian chromosome C1, whole genome shotgun sequence.